ACGGCUCAGUAACACGUGGCUAACCUGCCCUUGGGACGGGAACACCCCCGGGAAACUGGGGCUAAUCCCCGAUAGGUGAAGAACUCUGGAAUGAGUCUUCGCCCAAAAGGCGUCGGAUCAUGCUUUCGGCGUCGCCCAAGGAUGGGGCCGCGACCGAUCAGGUUGUUGGUGAGGUAACGGCCCACCAAGCCUAUAACCGGUGCGGGCCGUGAGAGCGGGAGCCCGGAGAUGGGCACUGAGACAAGGGCCCAGGUCCUACGGGGCGCAGCAGUCGCGAAACCUUUGCAAUACACGAAAGUGUGACAGGGUCAUCCCGAGUGCCGACCGCUGAGGUUGGCUUUUACCCAGUCUAGAAAGCUGGGGGAAUAAGGAGAGGGCAAGUCUGGUGUCAGCCGCCGCGGUAAUACCAGCUCUCCGAGUGGUGUGGACGUUUAUUGGGCCUAAAGCAUCCGUAGCUGGCUGAUCAAGUCCCCUGUUAAACCCACCGAUUUAAUCGUUGGCUUGCGGGGGAUACUGUUCGGCUAGGGGACGAGAGAGGCAGACGGUAUUCCCGGGGUAGGGGUGAAAUCCUAUAAUCCCGAGAAGACCACCAGUGGCGAAGGCUGUCUGCUAGAACGCGCCCGACGGUGAGGGAUGAAAGCUGGGGGAGCGAACCGGAUUAGAUACCCGGGUAGUCCCAGCUGUAAACGAUGCAGGCUAGGUGUUUGGACGGCCACGCGCCGUUCUAGUGCCGCAGGGAAGCUGUUAAGCCUGCCGCCUGGGGAGUACGAUCGCAAGAUUGAAACUUAAAGGAAUUGGCGGGGGAGCACA
rnacentral:rRNA from 1 species